GAGUUGAGACGCCAGACGCGUUUCCUGGACGACGGCUUCCCAGCAAGGACAUCCAGCCAGCAGCCAAGAUGUCAUCAGUGGGGAAGGUGACCCAGGUUCCGAAUGGGAAAGCCUACCAGCAGAUCUUCCAGGCAGAGGUGCAGCUGGUCCACUCCCUGGCAGCCACUAGGAAGCGGGCUGCAGAGCAUGCUGUGACCCUGAAGAGUGGCAGGACACCCAUGAUGAAGAAGGUGGAGGCUCCUGAAGGGGAGGUGAUGUCUCCUCGACAGCAGAGGUGGAUGCAUGGCCUCCCCAAUGACUGGAUUAUGGAAAACCCUGUUCUCUACAGGGAAAAGGAAAGAGCCAAGAGGGAAAAAGCCCAGGAGAAUGAGAGCACCAUCGCUGCCCAAGAAGUGCGGGGUCUCAUGGAUACUAUAGUUCCUGAGAAGAUAAGCACCAGCACCCUUCAAGGGCGAGAAGAACGCAAGAGGAGGAGCUAUGAAAGCGCUCUGGCCAGCUUUCAGGAGGAGAUCGCGCAGGUCGGAAAGGAAAUGGAACCUCUUAUCGUGGACACUGGGGGACUUUUUUUGAAGAAGCUGACUGAAUCUGAUGAAGAUAUUAAUCAUCUCCUCCUAAAGGUGGAAAACGACACCAACCUUGAGGACUACACCAUCCAAGCCCUGCUGGAGCUGUGGGAUAAGGUGGCCAGGAUGUUCCUGCUCCAGAAGCAGGAGAUUAAGGAGCUGGAUGAGGCUCUGCACUCCCUGGAGUUCUCCCGAGCCAAGAAACUAAAAAACGUGUUGAAGAAAUAUGUGGAAAUCAUAGAGAAAACUUCCUACCUCAUGCGGCCUGAUGUGUACAGGCUGAUAAAUAAAGAAGCCAUGGUCAUGAACUAUGCCCUGCUGGGCAACCGGAAGGCCAUCACCCAGCUGUUUGUCAACCUGAUGGAGUCCACCCUGCAACAGGAGCUGGACAGCCGCCACCGCUGGCAAGGCCUGGUGGACACCUGGAAGGCUCUCAAGAAGGAGGCUCUGUUGCAGAAUUUCAGUGAAUUCAUGGCCAAUGAGAGUAUCCAUACUCCCCCAGCUGUGAAGAAGGAGCUAGAGGUCAUGCUGAAGACCCAGAACAUCCUGCAGCAAAGGCGACUAAAGCACCUCUGCACCAUCUGUGACCUCCUGCCCCCCAAUUACAACAAAACUCAGCUGACUGAGUGGCAUUCUUCUCUCAAUGCCCUGAACAAGGAACUAGACACCUACCACCUGGACUGUGUGAUGCGGAUCCGACUGCUGUAUGAGAAGACGUGGCAGGAGUGCCUGAUGCAUCUGCAGAAUUGUAAGAAGCAGCUGCUGGACUGGGAAGCCUUCACUGAAGAGGAGACAGAGACCCUGGUGAACCAGUUCUUAUUCCAGAUGGUGGGAGCGCUCCAGGGCAAGGUGGAGGAGGACCUGGAGCUCUUGGAUAAAUCCUUCGAAACCCUGGCAGACCAGACAGAGUGGCAGAGUUUGAACCUCUUCAAGUACUUCCAGGAGGUGGUGCAACUGUGGGAGGUACACCAGAGUGAGCUGUUGGUGCAGGAGCUGGAGCUGGAGAAGAGGAUGGAGCAGCACCGGCAUAAGCACAGCCUGGAGAGCCAGGCCCAGGAAGCCCACCUCGACAGGCUCUUGGACCAACUGAGGCAGCAGAGCCGCAAAGAAACACUGGCAUUUCACCUGGAAAAGGUCAAAGAUUAUCUGAAGAACAUGAAAUACAGGUAUGAAUCCUUUCACACCCUCAUGACAAAGGAAGUGAUGGAGUACCCAGCGUUCGUACUGAAAGAACUCAACUCCUACAGCUCCACCCUCAGCCAAUACUUCUUUGUGCGUGAAAUCUUUGAACAGAACUUGGCUGGAGAAGUCAUUUUCAAAUUCAGGAAACCAGAAGCACGUGAAAAACGCUUCCAGAAGAGAAUGAGAAAACUGAGGAAGAAGCAAGGAUCUAAAGAGGACAUGAGCAGAGGUGAGGAAAGCAUAAGUAGUGGGACAAGUGCUGCCAGGUCAGUAGAAGAGACGGAAGAAGAAAACACUCAAGAAAUGGAGUCCUUCAUAACUGAAGAGGAGCUGGACCAGCAGAAAAAAUCUCCUCUGCAUGCUGAGAUGGAUGAGUCCAAAGAAGGCUCUAUUCAGGAAUUGGAAGAAAUGCAGGUUGAAAGAGAGAGUUCCUUAAACCCAUCCCUGAACCAGGAAAAUGUGACGGGUCAAGGAGAAAAGGAGGAGUCAGACCAUGAGAAGGAGGAAGAGGAGGAAGAGGAGCUGGAGGAAGAGAAAGACGAGAAGGAGGCACAGGAAGAGCAAGAGAGUUUAUCUGUGGGUGAGGAUGAAGACAAGGAAGAAAGUCUGGAGGAGAUAUACUAUGAGGACAUGGAGUCCUUCACAACCUCCAGUGGAAACACUUAUUUUGUCUUCAUACCCCUGGAAGAAGAAGAGCAUUGCAGGAAGUCUCAUUCCACCUUCUCAGCCAUGUUCAUCGGUGACACUUCCAGUGCCAAGUUCAUAGAACAAGUGACAAUUUCAUCAAGACUAAUUUUAGAAAUUAAGAAACAACUUCGAGCUGGCUUCUUCGAGCACCUUGAGAAGUGGUUUGACCAGUGUUCCCUCAACACCCGGGUCAUCGUGGCCACCAAGAUUGAUGAGCUGGAUUCAGAACUGGAACUGUGUCUACACCUGCACCAGCCAAGAGCCCAGCAGAUUGAAGAGGAUAUCCACAAUGUCAGGGCAGCCGAGCUCUUGCUUCAUCAAGAGCGGUUGGACAGCCACUGUGCUGGGGUGACCGAGACGCUGAAGAAGGAGUGGCUGAUGUUCUGCCAGUUCCAAGAAGAGCAAAACAUGAGGAGCAAAAACUUCUGCCUCAGGAUUUAUGACAUGGAGCACAUCUUCUUGAAUGCUACCAGGAGCCAAAAGCUGGUCAUUCUCAGCAACACACUGCACCGGGAGUUGCUUAGCUAUGUCGAUGUUACCCAGGUGUCCUUACGCAGCUUCCGGCAGUACUUGGAGGAGAGUCUGGGCAAACUCCGCACCUCAAAUACUGAGUUCAUCAAACACUGCAGAUUGUUUUCAGAGGGAGGCAACUUUUCUCCUAAAGAAAUCAAUUCACUGUGUCGUCGACUGGAGAAGGAAACCACCCGGAUAGAGUUAGUUGAAAGUAUAAUCAUGGUCAACAUGGAGAAGAUGGAGAAUGAGUACCUGGACCAGGCCAAUGAUGUCAUCAACAAGUUCGAAAGCAAAUUCCAUAACCUGUCCGUGGACCUUAUUUUCAUAGAGAAAAUCCAGCGGUUGCUGACAAAUCUGCAAGUGAACAUCAAGUGCCAGGUGGCAAAAUCCAAUUCGCAAACAAACGGAUUAAAUUUUUCUCUGCAACAGCUUCAGAGCAAGAUAAAAACGUGUCAAGAGUCCAGGGGAGAGAAAACCAUGGUGACCACAGAAGAACUCCUCGGCUUCAUCCAAACUUGGAAAGAAAAACUCAGCCAGAGGAUUCAGUACCUCAACUGCAGCCUGGACAGGUUGUCCAUGACUGAACUGGUCUUCACUAACACCAUCCUGAAGGACCCGGAGGAGAAGAGUGAUAUCCUGACAUCUUCAGAAGCCCUCGAAGAGGAGGCCAGGCUGGACCUGGUCACCUCGGAGUCCUUCGCCCAGCUGACCCGCAUGGGGAAGCCCCUGAUUGAGGACCCAGCUGUUGAUGUGAUCAGGAAGAUCCUGCAACUUCCCAACACAAAAUGGCCAACCCACCGUUGUGACAAAGAUCGGUCCCAGACAGCCUUCAAGCGACAUCAGUGUCGGCCAGAAAACUCUGGGAAGAAGCUCCUGUCCAGUGCCAGUGCCACCUCUGCAGGCAGCCUCCAGACCACCCACCCCCCUUUGUCCCACAGUCUCACGCGGCACUCCAAGCCCAACAAAACGGAGAGAAAGUACCAAGUGCUUGGGGACAAGCCUCCUCCUCCUGCCGAGGAUUUCAAGGGGAUCAUCUUGACCCUCCUCUGGGAGAGCAAUGAGAUCCUGCUAACAGUCGCAGAGGAGUUCUACCAUAAAGAAAAACGCCCAGUCACCAGGCCUGACUGCAUGUAUGACACCUUCGACCAGUGCGCUGAGAACAUUGGCAAAAAGAUCCUGGAGUACCAGAGCCAGGCAGAUGAGUACCACAACUCCUGCCUCAUAGAAUUACGAAUCCAGAUGAGAAGAUUUGAGGAGCUGCUGCCCCAAGUGUGUUGGUUAGUGAUGGAAAAUUUGAAGGAGCACCACUGGAACAAGUUUUGCAUCUCCAUGAAGGAGAUCCGAGAGCAAUUGGAGGAACGCCACAAGCAGCUAGAGAAAAGAAAGGACAAAAAUGCCCAGAAGCUCCAUCUAAAUCUUGGACACCCCAUACAUUUCCAAGAAAAGGAGUCUCUACAGUUAAAUGAAGACAAAAGGCAGGAGGAGCUGGACAACAUGAUUAGGAUGAACAGGGAGAAGCUGCAGGAAUGUACCAGAAAGAAUGGCCAGGUUUUCAUAACCAACUUGGCCGCCUUCACCGAGAAGCUCCUACUGCAGCUGGAUGAGGUGGUCACCAUUGACGAUGUCCAAGUUGCAAGAAUGGAGCCCCCCAAACAGAAAAUAUCAAUACUCAUACGAAGAAAACUUGCUGGGCUCUCCCUGAAGGAUGAGAGUGAGCAACCCCUGAUUGAACGUGGAAGCAGGAAGUGGCCAGGAAUCAAACCCACUGAAGUCACCAUCCAAAACAAGAUUCUUCUCCGGCCAACAUCAUCGAUAUCCACCACCAAAACCACCCUGGGCCACCUGGCAGCUGUGGAAGCCCGAGAUGCUGUGUACCUGAGUGGCAGAGCCAGAAUUUGAUCCCAGUGCCUGUCAGACCUGCUGGGGACAGCCUGAUGAGGAGGCUACACCCAGAUGCCACCUGAGGGACCUCUUGGCUCUGAAGAUCUGUGGACCUUGGUCCUGAUGCCCAGAGAGAAACCUUGUCCUGCCCAGAGACCAGCUGGCCCCCCUAUUGGGAGAGCCUGAAGUACCCAGGAAGUAUUUAGCAUCAUUUGAGGAGGAGCUGAAGAGGAUCCACGAUGACUGCGUAUCUCAGAUGAAGGAGGCUCAGCGCUGGAAGGACAGCUGGAAGCAGUCCAUGCACACCAUCCAGGCCCUGUAUGUGUGACCCUCCACCCCACCACGAAUAAAUGCUUUCUUAUGCAGA